rfam:Meleagris gallopavo isolate NT-WF06-2002-E0010 breed Aviagen turkey brand Nicholas breeding stock chromosome 3, whole genome shotgun sequence.
GUUUCCAUAGUGUAGUGGUUAUCACGUUUGCCUCACACGCAAAAGGUCCCUGGUUCGAUCCCAGGUGGAAACA